GUGGGGAAUAUUGGUCAAUGGACGGAAGUCUGAACCAGCCAUGCCGCGUGCAGGAAUAAGGUCCUAUGGAUUGUAAACUGCUUUUAUUCGGGAAUAAACCUCUUUACGUGUAGGGAGCUGAAGGUACCGAAGGAAUAAGCACCGGCUAACUCCGUGCCAGCAGCCGCGGUAAUACGGAAGGUGCAAGCGUUAUCCGGAAUCAUUGGGUUUAAAGGGUCCGCAGGCGGGCUAUCAAGUCAGAGGUGAAAUCCCACAGCUUAACUGUGGAACUGCCUUUGAAACUGAUGGUCUUGAAUUAAGUGGGCGUUGGCGGAAUAUGACAUGUAGCGGUGAAAUGCAUAGAUAUGUCAUGGAACACCGAAAGCGAAGGCAGCUAACGAUACUUAUAUUGACGCUCAUGGACGAAAGCGUGGGUAGCGAACAGGAUUAGAUACCCGAGUAGUCC
rnacentral:rRNA from 1 species